UGCCAGCCGCCGCGGUAAGACGAAGGUGGCAAGCGUUGUUCGGAAUCACUGGGCGUAAAGGGAGCGUAGGCGGCUAUUUAAGUCAGAUGUGAAAGUCCACGGCUCAACCGUGGAAGUGCAUUUGAAACUGGAUGGCUUGAGUACUGGAGGGGGUGGUGGAAUUCCCGGUGUAGAGGUGACAGUCAUAGAUAUCGGGAGGAAUAACGGUGUCGAAGGCGACCACCUGUCCAGAUACUGACGCUGAGUUGCUAACGCUUUGGGCGAAAACAGUCUUCGAUC
rnacentral:rRNA from 1 species